rnacentral:rRNA from 1 species
GACGAACGCUGGCGGCGUGCCUAACACAUGCAAGUCGAACGGGAAUACAUUAGUAGCAAUACGGAUGUAUUUUAGUGGCGGACGGGUGAGUAACGCGUGAGCAACCUGCCCUUCGGAGGGGGACAACAGCUGGAAACGGCUGCUAAUACCGCAUAACGUAUAUCUGAGACAUCUCGGAUAUACCAAAGAUUUAUCGCCGAAGGAUGGGCUCGCGUCUGAUUAGCUGGUUGGUGAGGUAACGGCUCACCAAGGCAACGAUCAGUAGCCGGACUGAGAGGUUGAACGGCCACAUUGGGACUGAGAGACGGCCCAGACUCCUACGGGAGGCAGCAGUGGGGAAUAUUGGGCAAUGGGGGCAACCCUGACCCAGCAACGCCGCGUGAAGGAAGAAGGCCUUCGGGUUGUAAACUUCUUUGACGAGGGACGAAAGAAAUGACGGUACCUCGAAAACAAGCCACGGCUAACUACGUG